AACGUAGGAGACAAACGUUAUCCGGAGUUACUGGGCGUAAAGGGCGCGUAGGUGGCCACUAUAAGGCCGCGGUGAAAGUUCGGGGCUCAACCCUGAAUCUGCCGCGGCGACUGUAGGGCUAGGGCACCGUAGAGGCAGAUGGAAUUCCGGGUGUAGCGGUGGAAUGCGUAGAGAUCCGGAAAGAACACCGGUGGCGAAGGCGGUCUGCUGGGCGGUGAACUCGCAAGAGUCAAUAGCCGACACUGAGGCGCGAC
rnacentral:rRNA from 1 species